CCGACCAGCCGCGGGAGGGAGAGAGAUGGCGCAGCCGAGCAAGGAGCCGUGCAAGAAGGAGGCGUGCGACAUCCAGGCCUGCCUCUCCAAGAAUCUCUUCGAUUCCAAGAAGUGUUUGAAAGUUAUUCAGUCACUUCAGUCUUGUUGUGACCAGUGCGAGUACAAAUCAACACAUUGUGGUUCUUUGACUGGGUUACUGAAAAACAUAACAAAGUGAUGUCACAAGAUCGCCAUGUUUUUAUGUAGCUGUUUAAUCAAGGUCAUUGUAGGUUACUAGGUUUGCUCAGUUUCUCUUAUUCAUCAUGCAUCACUGAGGGGAAAAAAAAAUACUGCAAUCAUUCUCAACCUCCAGAAUGAUGCUCUGGUUGCUGAGUUGUUCGGUACUGAGAUUUGUCAACAGAUAGACAUUUCUAGAAGAUGGAUACUGCUACACCAUAUGCUUGUAAUACCCUUCAUAGUUCUUAUGCUCCUGUUCACAUGUAAUCCCAUGUUUCUUUUCAGAAAAAUAAUUAGCCGCUGGUGUUCAUGUACAUUUGUCCACAUGUGUGAUACAGGGAAAAUGUCUGGAGUGUAAUUGUAAUUUUCACAGUGCAUGUUCUAGGUAACAAGGAAUAACAAGCUUG